ensembl:lncRNA
GGAAAGUACCCCCUUCCUAGGUGUUUCUGGUUCACAGGGUUUGCUAAGACCCCAGUGAGAGGUAACAAAAGUCCUUGUGCCUCAGCUCAAACUUCCACAGCUGACAUCCUUUCUCGAUUCAUGCAGCAAUGCUCAGUGAUGACUUCAUACAGGAGCACCUGCCUGAAGAGGGCUUCCUCUCCAGUGGAGCACAGCAUCUUUGCCACAGGCAUCGUUGCUCUGAUAGUCCUGGCUGAGAAGGUGGAAACACUGAAGGGUUCUCAGCUUGUCCUGGUUCUUAAGCUGCAUUCUAUCCUUAGUAUGGAUGUUCAUCACUGCAAGUCUCCUAGGUUUGUCUCAUUUUUUCUCUAGAGAAGAUUGCCCUAUCUCAGUCAACCUGUGUCUGCAUGCUACUGUCUGCUCACUGUCUCUUCUCAAUUCUUCUGCUGUUGUGCACAUGCAAGGCACUCGAGCCUGAACUAUGGCUUGUGUCUAUGCACUGACAGCAGCAAUUCUAAUUUCUUAUCUGUCGCUUCUUGUACAGGACAUUCACAUGCAGCUACAGUUAAAAUUGGCUCAGCUACUCUGACUGACAUCAAGGGACUAGGACAUACUGUUGCUGAUAUUAGAUGCCCACAAUCCAAGAACUGCUAUGAAUCACAUUAUUGACUUGGAAUGAGGGCUCAAGACUGCUGGCCACUCUGCCUGGUGAUUUUGUAGUUCUCAUACAAGCUCUGAGGGCCAGUCAGGGAGUCCACAAUCCUGUAACCCCAGCCCAUCAUCCUCCUUCUUGGAGACUUUACUCACUGCCAUUGUCCUUGUACCGUUCAUCCUGACAACACGCAUAGUCUUAAUGGUUGUUCAGAGUCAUGAUCACCAGCAUCUUGUUAGAUAUGCAUCUUUUAUCUUUAAAUUGACUUGAAUCUUACUUAGAUGAACUGGUUUAUAAGGAAAUGUAGUAUUACUAUGCUAAGUGGAAAAAAAUCAUCCAUUUAUCAGAUCAUAGAAAGGGCAAAAUUGGGGCUAUAUGAGCCUGAGAACUCAAGUUUGGAUCCAGUACCCAUGUAAAUAUGUGUGGCUCAAUAUGUGUGACAGCCUAUAGAAAUCCCAGCAUACUGGGAGACAGAGACAGGAGAUCCGUGAAGCAGACUGGAUAGCUAGAUUACCUGAAUUAGUAGUUAUGGGUUCAAGUAAGAGGCCCUACCUCAAUACAAUCAAGGAAGACACCUGAUUUUAACUUCUGGCCUCCACAUUCAUAUUUACACAUUUACCCACACACAUAUGAACAUACAUACAUAUGCACUACACACAUAUACGCAUGCCACAAAGAUGCAGGGGAGUAGGUUCUAGUGGUCUGCAGUACAGCACAGUUCCUGCAUUCUGUGUGUCAUAGACAUGACUUGUCAUGUUAAAUCUCAUGUUAAGUGUUCUUCUUACCAAACAGGGCUAGAGUUAAUUAUACUGAGUUGUAUAUUAGAAAUAUUUUAGAGGGCAGAACUUCAAGGCUCUUAACACAUGUGUACAUACAGGAGCCAUGUGAAGUAACUGUUCUGGCCAUGGGCAUGGCAGUAGAAAUUAUUUCAUUGACUAUAUAUGUAGUAAAAUAUCGUGUACACUUGAAGUGAUAUUCCACAGAAUUUAGUGAAGAUAGGAAAGGCAGAGGAGUCUAUGGGACAUGGUGGGUGUUUACUGCCUUGACUAUGGGAUGUUUCCAGGCAUGCACAUAUCCCAGUUUGUCAAAUAGCACACACUACAAUAUGUGGUUGUGUGUGUGUGUGUGUGUGUGUGUGUGUGUGUGUGUGCAUGCGUGUAGCUCUAUUUCAAUAAAGC